CCCAGACUCCUACGGGAGGCAGCAGUGGGGAAUAUUGGGCAAUGGGCGCAAGCCUGACCCAGCAAUGCCGCGUGAAGGAAGAAGGCUUUCGGGUUGUAAACUUCUUUGACAGGGGAAGAGCAGAAGACGGUACCCUGAAAACAAGCCACGGCUAACUACGUGCCAGCGGCCGCGGUAAUACGUAGGUGGCAAGCGUUGUCCGGAUUUACUGGGUGUAAAGGGCGUGUAGCCGGGAAGGCAAGUCAGAUGUGAAAUCUGGAGGCUCAACCUCCAAAUUGCAUUUGAAACUGUUUUUCUUGAGUACUGGAGAGGCAGACGGAAUUCCUUGUGUAGCGGUGAAAUGCGUAGAUAUAAGGAGGAACACCAGUGGCGAAGGCGGCCUGCUGGACAUUAACUGACGCUGAGGCGCGAAAGCGUGGGGAGCAAACAGGAUUAGAUACCCCGGUA
rnacentral:rRNA from 1 species